CCAGAUCAGUGUCAGUCCCCUUGCAGCCAUUGGCUGGGAGCCUGCAUGUUACCUGGAAUGAUAUUUGAAACAUAUCACCCUAGCCGUGCCUUCGCUGUGGGCUGGGAGGCGAGUCAGUCAGAAUCUGCAUUAUGGAAUGUUUUGGAUGACAAGCUUGUAUUUGCAAAAGUACACACCCUGUGGGAGGUGCUCUGUACAUACGCUGAGAUACUGCACAUAAAAUUGCCUCUGAAGCCAAAUAAUCUGAAAACUCGAUCCUCAGCCUUUGAUAAUUUCAGCUGUUUUAUGAAAGUCCUCCAAGUGGAUGAAAGUAUCAUCAAGCCGGAGCAAGAGUUUUUCAUUGCCCUAUUUGAGAAGAGCUACUUGAAUGACUUUUAUAUUGAGGAUAGAGAUGCAUUCUUCAAUCCAGCCACCAGAAGCCACAUUGUAAGUCUAAACAGAGUUUAGCUGCUGUCUUGGGGGUGAUUUAGAACCUGCUGUUGAAUUAUCACUAUUUUGGUUUGUUUGGUUUGGUUUGGUUUUUAAAAGCUGCCCAUAAAAAGGAAAAAAGGGAAAGAAAAGAAAUAUGACUACAGAUUCCUGUUAGGAUAGUAAACAGUGGCUGGUUAGUUACCCUGUAUAAACCACACACUCUCUUAGAAUCUUUUUAGGUUUACUUCAUCCUUUCUCAGGUGAAGUAUCAAAUAAGGGACAGUGUUAAAAAAAAAUUCGGGAUUAACAGGCUUGUGAGCUCCGGGAUCUGCAAGGUAGCUUUCCCUCCCCAUGGUGUAAGUCAAAUGGCAGAAAUGAAAUAAAGCACCUCAUGUAUCCUCUGAUGUUAACAGGAAAAGGCUAAUCUUCUUGACCUUGUUUCUUCCUGGGUAAAAUUAAGAUAAUGUGUCAGGAGGCGACAAGCUCAUUUAGGGCAGGAACUAUGUUGUCGUGUUCACUGCUGAAUCCCAGGAACCGGGAAGGCUGAGUUUAACGAGUGAGUGAAUGAAUGAACUGUAGUUCCCCCAGAGUUACCAUGUGGGGCAGUGCGGAUUAGCAGCUAAGAGCAUAGACUCGAGAGGGGAGGGUACAGCUCAAGUAAUGGGGUGCAUGCUUAGCACGCGUAAGUUCCUGUGUUCAGCCCCCAACACCUCCUCUAAAAUAGACAAAUAACCCUAAUUACGUCCCCACGCCCCACCAGAAUUACCUUAUUAUCUCCCCAACCACCAAAAAAAAAAAAAAAAAAGA